UGCCGGCGACCGGCGACGGUGCGUAACGCGUAUGUAACCUACCUUUGACAGGGGGAUAACAUCGAGAAAUUGGUACUAAUACCCCAUAACAUCACCGGAGGCAUCUUCGGUGGUUGAAAACUCAGGUGGUCAGAGAUGGACAUGCGUUGUAUUAGCUAGUUGGUGAGGUAACGGCUCACCAAGGCGACGAUACAUAGGGGGACUGAGAGGUCAACCCCCCACAUUGGUACUGAGACACGGACCAAACUCCUACGGGAGGCAGCAG
rnacentral:rRNA from 1 species